rfam:Asian citrus Psyllid, Diaphorina citri - Florida Strain, whole genome shotgun sequence.
GCCUAGUUAGCUUAGUUGGUAGUGCGUCUGCCUUGUAAGCGCUAGGCCGCGGGUUCGAUUCCCGCCCGGCU